UUUUUUUUUUUUUUUUUUUUGAGAUGGAGGCUCACUCUGUCGCCCAGCUCCAUCCAUGUUCCUGCAAAGGACAUCAUCUCAUUCUCUUUUAUGGCUGCAUAGUAUUCCAUGGUGUAUAUGUACCACAUUUUCUUUAUCCAGUAUGUCAUUGAUGGGCAUUUGGGUCUUUGCUAUUAUGAAUAGCGCUGCUGUGAACAUAUGUGUGGAUGUCUUUAGGGUACAAUGAUUUAUAUUUCUUUGGGCAUAUAACCAGUAAUGGGAUGGCUGGGUUGAAUGACAUUUCUGUUUUUAGCUCUUUGAGGAAUCACCACACUACUUUCCACAAUGGUUGAACUAAUUUACACAGUCUCUAAGAGUAUAUAAGUGCUCCCUUUUCUCUGCAACUUUGCCAGUAUCUGCUGUUUUUUGACUUUUUAGUAAUAGCCGUUCUGACUGGUGUGAAAUGGUAUCUCAUUUUGUCCCACCAGUUUUUUUAACUGUUAAGUUCAGGGGUGCAUGUGCAGGUUUGUUACAUAGGUCAACUUGUGUCAUGGGGAUUUCUUGUGCAGAUUAUCUUGUCACCUGGGUUUUAAGCCUAGCGCCCAUUAGUUAUUUUUCCUGAUCCUCCCUCCUCCCACCGUCCCCCAUCCGAUAGCCCCGUGUGUGUUGUUCAGCUCUGUGUGUCCCUGUGAGAUUGGUCAUUUUUAGGUCAAAUUUUACAUAGUAUGUUCUUUAUGUGCUUUCUUCUAGAACUUUCUAUGUUUUAUUAACUAGGCAACUGUUGCUAAAAUCUCUACUAAAAGUGGGCACAUCUUUAUAAUAACAAAUAGAAGCUUGUAAAGUUGUGAUACCUUAAAUUUUGCCAAGUUAUGAGGGCUUUGCCUGAGACCUGGAUGACAGAGUUGUGUAAGAAUGUGGGUUCCUCUGAAGACUGUUGAAUUUUCUGAGAAUAAAGAUCUUAUUUGUUUCUAUUACAUAGGGUUAAAGCAGGGACACGGUGGUCUCUAAGGCACAUAGGAGGCUCUGAGAACGGAAAAUGAGAUCUUUCCAAACAGUAAUGCAAAUCUCCAUUUCUGUAUUUAGGAUCCCUCUGAGAGCAAGCAGGGGUUCACAGAAGGAUAUAGCUCACUAAGAGAAACAAAUAAUGGGAAACACAGGUUUAUAGCAUUUAGAAGAAAAUACCAAGAUGAACAUAUUAAUAUCUAAAGUGAGUUUUGAUGAAAACAAUAUAAAAAUUUUUAAAACUCAAAAUGUAAAUAUCAGGACCAUGUGACUUACUUUUAUUUCUACCAAAUAAUAAAGACUGGCAAUCCUGGGCACACACUUCCAGAGAAUACACAGCAAACACAGCCAUAGUGCUUUAUCAUUUUAGGAGAAUCUUGAUUCCACUCCUGCAAUAAUAGACUUGACUGGAAAGUGGAAGGACAGAAACAUUCCUCUGAAUGUGGAACCCAAAAUCUGAAAACAAAUGUUAGUGAUCUAGAGGUGGACUUAAAAAAAUAGGAUGAAGAGUGGUAUUUUAUGAGAAGACUUUCAGAGGGCUCACGAGAGAGAAUCAGUGGCAUUUUCACUGGUGAAGGAUUGGGAGAAGAGGCAGAGCCAUUGGGUUAAUGGAAGGGACAUCUGGAGUCAGAGGGAAAGGGGGAUCAGAGUGAACCUUGAAUGAGAGUCCUGGGGCAGAGUCCUGGGGCAGAGGUUUCCAGGCUGUGGCUAUGGAGGGUUUUUUGUUUUUUUUUUUUUUUGAGACAGAGUCUUGCUCUGUCUCCCAGACUGGAGUGCAGUGGCGCGAUCUCGGCUCACUGCAAGCUCCACCCCCUGGGUUCACGCCAUUCUCCUGCCUCAGCCUCCCGAGUAGCUGGGACUACAGGCGCCCGCCACCAUGCCCGGCUAAAUUUUUGUAUUUUUAGAAGAGACGGGGUUUCACCAUGUUAGCCAGGAUGGUCUCGGUCUCCUGACCUCAUGAUCCGCCCACCUCGGCCUCCCAAAGUGCUGGAAUUACAGGCAUGAGCCACUGCGCCUGGCCGGAGGGGUCUUUCUGACAGGAGAUAGGACUGUCCCCUGCCACGGCAAGGUCAAGAAAUGGAUGUGGAGUUUGUAAAAUAGAAAGUGAUCUUUGAUGGGGAAAGAAUGAGCUGAUAAGGUGUACACUCCCUGCUGGUGCACCUGCUGCCCAUUCUUAGCCACACCUUUUUCCAGGUGGCUCAGAUCAGCAGUCAAGGAGAAAGUGGGGGUGGCAGACUAAAUUCAUUAAACCACCAAAGCACCAGCCCAGAUGGCCUCUUUUUCAGUUAAUUCGCAUUAGCUACUUAUUCAGGUUUGAUAAGUGGGAGAGAAGUUGUUACUUGCAGAAGCAUCUUGUGAUAGAUGUUUUGCAUUGUUCUAAGGCCUGAGCAGUCUUGGAGACAGGCAGACACUGGUCGCUCACUGUGAUCACUGGAGGAAACAGUUACUGAGAGGCAGCUGACAGGGUGAAGGGAGUGGGGGAGGAAGGCCACGCAUUUGUGCUUCCCAAGGUCCCACAGGUGACAUCCUUUAAAGGAAACUGUGUCAUACUUGGGGUGGAAGAUUUGAAAGGCAGAGGAAAAGAAUGCUUUAUAAUUAGGGACCUGUCUUCAUCUCAGGCGACUCUUCCCGAGCACGAACUCUGUCUUUCCACACACCUUGGGAAUAAAAGUAUUGGAGAAAGAGAGUGAAAGGGUCCCUUUGAUCAGUGGUCCAGGGCACGAUAUAGAGGUCUCAGUUGUUCAGGAAUCUCUGUCUCUAGGGAACCAAAUUUAUUCCAACCCCCAGAUCCUUCACUCAUUAGAAUGGGAUUCUGCAAAUCUCUCACCAUCUCUAAGUGAUACUCAGCCCCUCCUGUGCCCACCCUGCCGGGCUGAUGUGGGGAGUCCCGGAGAUAAUAGGAGAUGUCCUCCAGAAGUUGUAAGGCAUCACACCCACGUAAAAGAUGAACAGGGAACCACCCUCCACUGGCCUGGAGCCACCCAAGCAGCCUCUCUGUGUUCAGCCACUACUAAGUCUCCGGCUUAUUCCUUCUGGCAUUUAGUAAACCCUUACACAUCACUACUGAAGUUCUGAUUCUCUUUCUUAAUAUUCUCCUGCAUUUAGUGAUUUUUCUAGCCCCAUACUGUGAGAUUAAUAAGUAGGCCCUAUGAAAAGUUUAACAUGACAGCGCAGAGAUCUGAGGGCCGAGGGAUUACAUGACCUUCCCAGGUCUACGUGGCUCUAGUGGGAUUGGGGUGCAGGUCCCUCACUACACCAGCCCUCUGCCUUUCUGUAUCGUCUCACCUAUGUGAAGCCAUCGCCCACGCAGUCUUUCUAAUCCAUGUAUAAAGUGCUCACUGAACUCCACGAUCUUCCUGAGACCUAACUUUGAUUCAGAUGGCUCUGCUUGGAAGCCAGUAAACAAUGGGAUCAGAAGUUAGAACCAAUUAUCACAAUUCUCCCUCUGGUCUUCUGUCAGUAACAUGUCAUUAGUUCUCUGCAUUGCAAAAAGAUUAACCAGGCUCUUCUCUGAUAGAAAUUUUAAGAAGAUAUAGCCUCUACACCAAGAGGCACAUGACACAACCUGGACUCUGGGCAAACCACCGGGUGCACUCACAUGAAGUGGCGGCUUAUUUGGCCUCCCCAGGACGGACUGGAGCAUCAGUAGUGCCUGAGUUCAUCAAAGGACAGAUGCUCAAGACACCUUGAUCACCAUUAGGUGGAAUUGAAGGAGCCAAAAAUGGGCGCAGUGGCUCCUCAGCAGAGACGCUCCUGAAUGUAUAGACAUGGGAACCACUUUCAGCAUCAAAAAAGGAAACGUUCUGCAUGCCCAUAUCCAGAAAAAUCCCCACUCGCUGUAACUUGCGGUCUACUAAGAGGAAAGUCAGCGGCACCGUGCUGGCAGAGAGGCGGCUUCCAUCCCUCAAACUCACAGUCCAGAAUCCAAGCUCUGUGGUCAGCUGGAUCUUCCCUUUGCAGUGAACAGAUUCUCUGCAGACUCCCAGGUCCCAUUCUGUGCUUGUUCCCACGUCCACCUCCCAGUAGUGGCGGCCACAGGUAAAGCGAGGGGAGCCCAGGAUGCAAACGGACACGUCAAAUCUCUCGGCAAGGUCUUGCCGAUUCUGUGUGAUGAGCCCACUUCGGACGCUCCUGAGGUCGUCAGAAAUGAGGAGGAAGUUGUUGGCUGUGUCGGCAUCCAAGGUCAUAUCCACUGUGAAAAGGAAAACAAGUUGCUCAGCAAGUGGACAGAAGCCAACCCCAUGCCUCUCUUCUACUUCAAAGGCCCAAAUAUCUCCUGACUUUAGUUUCUUUAAUUCUGUUUCUUCCUCCAAAAUCAAAACUUUUCAUGAGGAAACUUCCCUAUUUCAAAUUUUCAUAGGUAUGCUUUGUGGCAAUACGUGACUCUUAUUCACAGUAGCAAUUCUUAUUUUACUUUACGUCACGUGUUUGCUUCACUGAACUUUUCUUCAUUUAGAGUGGAGGGUCUCUGAAGGCAGACACCAUGCCCCCCUUUCUACCACCUUGAUGUGUGAACAAAUAAAUGAUAAUUAAGACAA
rnacentral:lncRNA from 1 species